rnacentral:rRNA from 1 species
AUUGAACGCUGGCGGCAUGCCUUACACAUGCAAGUCGAACGGUAGAGUAGCAAUACUUGAGAGUGGCGAACGGGUGAGUAAUAUAUCGGAACGUGCCCAGUCGUGGGGGGAUAACGUAGAGAAAUUUACGCUAAUACCGCAUACGAUCUAAGGAUGAAAGCGGGGGAUUCGCAAGAACCUCGCGCGAUUGGAGCGGCUGAUAUCAGAUUAGGUUGUUGGUGAGGUAAAAGCUCACCAAGCCGACGAUCUGUAGCUGGUUUGAGAGAACGACCAGCCACACUGGGACUGAGACACGGCCCAGACUCCUACGGGAGGCAGCAGUGGGGAAUUUUGGACAAUGGGCGCAAGCCUGAUCCAGCAAUGCCGCGUGCAGGAUGAAGGCCUUCGGGUUGU